UACGUAGGGAGCGAGCGUUAUCCGGAAUCAUUGGGCGUAAAGAGCGCGUAGGCGGCCUCUCAAGCGGGAUCUCUAAUCCGAGGGCUCAACCCCCGGCCGGAUCCCGAACUGGGAGGCUCGAGUUCGGUAGAGGCAGGCGGAAUUCCCGGUGUAGCGGUGGAAUGCGCAGAUAUCGGGAAGAACACCGAUGGCGAAGGCAGCCUGCUGGGCCGCAACUGACGCUGAGGCGCGAAAGCUAGGGGAGCGAACAGGAUUAGAUACCCUGGUAGUCCUAGCCGUAAACGAUGGAUACUAGGUGUGGGGGGCUCCGCCCUCCGUGCCGCAGCCAACGCAUUAAGUAUCCCGCCUGGGGAGUACGGCCGCAAGGCUAAA
rnacentral:rRNA from 1 species